GACGUAGGGGGCCAGCGUUGCUCGGAAUUACUGGGCGUAAAGGGUUCGUAGGCGGUGCGGCAAGUCGGAAGUGAAAUCUCCAGGCUCAACUUGGAGGCUGCUCCCGAAACUGCCGCGCUAGAGUGCGGGAGAGGCCAGUGGAAUUGCAGGUGUAGCGGUGAAAUGCGUAGAUAUCUGCAGGAACACCCGUGGCGAAGGCGGCUGGCUGGACCGCAACUGACGCUGAGGAACGAAAGCUAGGGGAGCAAACAGGAUUAGAUACCCUGGUAGUCCUAGCCCUAAACGAUCAGGACUUGGGGUGCAUCCCGACGGGGUGCGUCCCGUAGCUAACGCGUUAAGUCCUGCGCCUGGGGAGUACGGUCGCAAGACUGAA
rnacentral:rRNA from 1 species